CAGUAGCCACGGUAAUACGUAGGUGGCAAGCGUUGUCCGGAAUUAUUGGGCGUAAAGCGCGCGCAGGCGGAUCAGUCAGUCUGCCUUAAAAGUUCGGGGCUUAACCCCGUGAUGGGACGGAAACUGCUGAUCUAGAGUAUCGGAGAGGAAAGUGGAAUUCCUAGUGUAGCGGUGAAAUGCGUAGAUAUUAGGAAGAACACCAGUGGCGAAGGCGACUUUCUGGACGAAAACUGACGCUGAGGCGCGAAAGCCAGGGGAGCGAACGGGAUUAGAUACCCCCGUAGUCCCUGUCUCUUAUACA
rnacentral:rRNA from 1 species